UACGGAGGGUGCAAGCGUUAUCCGGAUUCACUGGGUUUAAAGGGUGCGUAGGAGGGCAGGUAAGUCAGUGGUGAAAUCUCCAAGCUUAACUUGGAACUGCCGUUGAUACUAUCUGUCUUGAAUAUUUGUGGAGGUGAGCGGAAUAUGUCAUGUAGCGGUGAAAUGACUUAGAUAUGACAUAGAACACCAAUUGCGAAAGGCAGCUCACUACUCAAUCAUUGACUCUGAGGCACGAAAGCGUGGGGAUCAAACAGG
rnacentral:rRNA from 1 species